CCUACGGUAGGCUGCAGUGGGGGAUAUUGCACAAUGGGGGGAACCCUGAUGCAGCGACGCCGCGUGGGUGAAGGAGCGUUUCGGCGCGUAAAGCCCUAUCGGCAGGGAAGAAGGAGGACGGUACCUGACUAAGAAGCCCCGGCUAACUACGUGCCAGCAGCCGCGGUAAUACGUAGGGGGCAAGCGUUAUCCGGAUUUACUGGGUGUAAAGGGGGCGCAGACGGCAGCGCAAGCCAGGAGUGAAAGCCCGGGGCCCAACCCCGGGACUGCUCUUGGAACUGGUGCUCUUGAGUGGAAGAGAAGUAUGCGGAAUGCGUGGUGUAGCGGUGAAAUGCAUAGAUAUCACGCAGAACCCCGAUUGCGAAGGCAGCAUGCCGGCUUCCGACUGACGCUGAAGCACGAAAGCGUGGGGAUCGAACAGGAUUAGAUACCCUUGUAGUC
rnacentral:rRNA from 1 species